ACACACACACACACACACACACACACACACUCACACACACACACACACACACACACACACACACACACACACUCCUCCUCGCUCCGGGUUUUUUACAGUUCUGCUGAGUGAGAGCAUGGACCCGCUCCAAUCGUAAUGGCGAGCCAGUGCGGGGCAGAGGAGGCCUUUACGUGUUUCGGACGAGCCAAGUCGGACAAAGUCUAAUUGGAGAGAUCAGGUGAUCUGCUGAUGUCCUCUUUCAUGAGUCACAGUGAGUUUGUCCCUCCUCCUCUGACCCGUGGAGGACCAUCAGAAGGUUCCAGAGAAGAGAAGAAGAAAGGCUGUUUCUGGGCGCAGAGGUGAUCUUCUUCUUCUUCUUCUGCUGCUGUACAUGUCCGUAACCGUCUCAGCUCGUCCAGAGUCCCACUGUCUCCGUCUUCAAUCAUUCUUACUGAGACAAAAACUAAACUAAACUGCAUUUUAGACUUUUUUAUGAUCACAUGAAGUCGAUUUCACUGAUUUUAAUCAUCUGAUCUUAAACCAGCAUGUUUGUCUGACUUUAAUCUUCCAAAUACAUUUGUAGACAUGAUUAUUUCUAGACUGAACAAUCUUCAUUCAAGAAAUCUGCAUGGACAGAUAAUUCAUCUUGUUUUUAUCUCGUUUUUAUCUUGUUUUAGACCUUUUCUCUCAGAUUUAGUCUUUUUAUCUUGUUUUUAUCUUGUUUUUAUCUUGAUUUUAGACCUUUUCCCUCAGAUUUAGUCUUUUUAUCUUGUUUUUAUCUUGUUUUUAUCUCGUUUUUAGACCUUUUCUCUCAGAUUUAGUCUUUUUAUCUCGUUUUUAUCUUGUUUUUAUCUUGAUUUUAGACCUUUUCCCUCAGAUUUAGUCUUUUUAUCUUGUUUUUAUCUCGUUUUUAGACCUUUUCUCUCAGAUUUAGUCUUUUUAUCUUGUUUUUAUCUUGUUUUUAGACCUUUUCUCUCAGAUUUAGUCUUUUUAUCUUGUUUUUAUCUUGUUUUUAGACCUUUUCUCUCAGAUUUAGUCUUUUUAUCUUGUUUUUAUCUUGUUUUUAUCUUGUUUUAGACCUUUUCUCUCAGAUUUAGUCUUUUUAUCUCGUUUUUAUCUUGUUUUUCUUGUUUUUAGACCUUUUCUCUCAGAUUUAGUCUUUUUAUCUCAUUUUUAUCUUGUUUUUAUCUUGAUUUUAGACCUUUUCCCUCAGAUUUAGUCUUUUUAUCUUGUUUUUAUCUUGUUUUUAUCUCGUUUUUAGACCUUUUCUCUCAGAUUUAGUCUUUUUAUCUUGUUUUUAUCUUGUUUUUAGACCUUUUCUCUCAGAUUUAGUCUUUUUAUCUUGUUUUUAUCUUGUUUUUAGACCUUUUCUCUCAGAUUUAGUCUUUUUAUCUUGUUUUUAUCUUGUUUUUAGACCUUUUCUCUCAGAUUUAGUCUUUUUAUCUUGUUUUUAUCUUGUUUUUAUCUUGUUUUAGACCUUUUCUCUCAGAUUUAGUCUUUUUAUCUCGUUUUUAUCUUGUUUUUAUCUUGUUUUUAGACCUUUUCUCUCAGAUUUAGUCUUUUUAUCUCAUUUUUAUCUUGUUUUUAUCUUGAUUUUAGACCUUUUCCCUCAGAUUUAGUCUUUUUAUCUUGUUUUUAUCUUGUUUUUAUCUCGUUUUUAGACCUUUUCUCUCAGAUUUAGUCUUUUUAUCUUGUUUUUAUCUUGUUUUUAGACCUUUUCUCUCAGAUUUAGUCUUUUUAUCUUGUUUUUAGACCUUUUCUCUCAGAUUUAGUCUUUUUAUCUUGUUUUUAUCUUGUUUUUAGACCUUUUCUCUCAGAUUUAGUCUUUUUAUCUUGUUUUUAGUCCCCUUUCUCUCAGAUUUAAUCUUUUUAUCUUGUUUUUAGACCUUUUCUCUCAGAUUUAGUCUUUUCAUCUUGUUUUCAUCUUGUUUUUAUCUUGGUUUUAGACCUUUUCCCUCAGAUUUAGUCUUUUUAUCUUGUUUUUAGACCUUUUCUCUCAGAUUUAGUCUUUUUAUCUUGUUUUAAUCUUGUUUUUAUCUUGUUUUAGACCUUUUCUCUCAGAUUUAGUCUUUUUAUCUUGUUUUUAGUCCCCUUUCUCUCAGAUUUAAUCUUUUUAUCUUGUUUUUAGACCUUUUCUCUCAGAUUUAGUCUUUUCAUCUUGUUUUCAUCUUGUUUUUAUCUUGGUUUUAGACCUUUUCCCUCAGAUUUAGUCUUUCUAUCUUGUUUUUACUCCUUCCCCUCAGAUUUAGUCUUUUUAUCUUGUUUUAUCUUGUUUUUAGACCUUUUCUCUCAGAUUUAGUCUUUUUAUCUUGUUUUAAUCUUGUUUUUAUCUUGUUUUAGACCUUUUCUCUCAGAUUCAGUCUUUUUAUCUUGUUUUUAUCUUGUUUUUAUCUCGUUUUUAGACCCUCCUUUUUUGCAGUGCACACUCAGCGGUCAAUACCAUCAAUGAUUCUGCCUUUCAGCAAAAUUGACGUCCCGAACAUUUAAUCACACAGAUGCUGUGCAGAGCGCCGGCCCGGUCCAGGUGGGUUUGUUAGUCUCUGGAGGGUACAGCUCAGAGGUCUUUUGUCAUCAUCCACAUCAGACCUGAAGUCCUCCAUCAGGAAAAAUCAAUGCUUAUGAAAAAUGAGAGAGUCCGACACGGGACAGGGUCACCGAGCGCUGGCUGUCAGCGCAGAGACUGUCAGAGACCCGUUUAGACUUUUAACAUCAGUGAAAACGCCACAAAGUGAGAAUAAUCCAAACGCCGUUCUUUAAGGAUGAAACUCGAUGACGAACAGUGAGAAGAGUGUUCAAUAUGAAGUUUGUCCUUCAAUAAAAUAUGUUCAAAUCAU